rnacentral:tRNA from 1 species
UCCCUGGUGGUCCACGGGUUAGGACUCGGCACUUCCACUGCAGGGAGCACAGGUUCAGUUCCUGGUCGGGGAA